AUGGCCCCUCUGCUCUGCUUCCUCUUCCUGCUAGCAACUCUAACAGGUGUCCAGUCCCAAAUCCAGUUGGUUCAGUCUGGGGCAGAAAUUAAAAAGCCUGGAGAAUCUGUGAAGCUCACCUGCAAAGCGUCCGGUUACACGUUCACUGACUACUCCAUGAGCUGGGUCCGACAGGCUCCGGGGAAAGGCCUGGAGUGGGUAGCAAGGAUUAGAACUGACAAUUUCAACACUUUCUACCCUGAGACUCUGAAAGGGCGAACCACCAUCAGCGUGGACACCUCCAUCAGCACAACGUAUCUCCAGAUGAACAGCCUGAAAUCUGAAGACACCGCUGUGUAUUACUGUGCAAGAGACACAGUGAGAAAAACACAUUCAUGGCCAUUCAUAAACCCCCCUGAAAGAGGAAGUCAUUGCUGACUGUGGCAUCAAAUAUGCAGAGCCCUUAAAAUGUCCUAUUGUGUCUCAGCAAAACUCAGCCCCCAGUCCUGGAAAUACUCACACCCAUGCUGAC